AGAGCCGGGCGAGCACGCGGCUCCCGGCCCAGCUCCCCGCGUCCGCUCCGGCUCCUGCCGCGUCCCAGCAGCCGUCACUCCCGCCGCCGGCCCCCGCCGCCCGCCCCGCCUGCCCCUACCCCUCCGCGCGGGCCGCGCACCUGGCCGCCGCUCGGUCCUCGGGGCCCCGCGCUGCUGUCUCCGUCUCGUCUUCUCUCGGCCCCUGGGUCUCUUCGUCUCUGCCGUUCUCAGGCUCAGCUCCGUCUCGCUCGGUCCCUCGCUUCCCCGCCGGGCUCUAGCCGGCCGUCUGGUGGCCCGAGGUGGCGGCGGGCCGGGCGCGGGGCGCGAUGAGCGGCGCCUGCACGAGCUACGUGAGCGCAGAGCAGGAGGUGGUGCGCGGCUUCAGCUGCCCGCGGCCGGGGGGCGAGGCGGCCGCUGUCUUCUGCUGCGGCUUCCGCGACCACAAGUACUGCUGCGACGACCCGCACAGCUUCUUCCCCUACGAGCACAGCUACAUGUGGUGGCUCAGAAAUGGGGUUUCACCAUGUUGCCCAGGCUGAUCUUGAAUUCCUGGACUCAAGUGAUCGGCCCGCCUUGUCAUCCCAAAGUGCUGAGAUUACAGCAUUGGCGCUCUCAUAGGCCUGUCUGUAGCAGCAGUGGUUCUUCUCGCCUUCAUUGUUACCGCCUGUGUGCUCUGCUACCUGUUCAUCAGCUCUAAGCCCCACACAAAGUUGGACCUGGGCUUGAGCUUACAGACAGCAGGACCUGUGCAGGUUGCCACAAACAAGAGGAAUCAGACAGUUCUCGCCCUCAAGGGGCUCACAUGGAGGACAAGGCAGGCACACAAAUGGCCAGGAGGCCCAGUGGUGGCCCUUCCUGGGGCUUUAGGGAGGAAGAAAUGAUGUCUGAGCUGAAUCGUCAAAGAUGACUCAAAGUUUCCAGGUGGUUCCUAACUUCCUGGCAACAACCACAAUUGUAAUUCGUUCAAAGAGAUUGACUGCUGUGGAGACAGAUCAUCACCAUCACCAUCACCAUCACCACCACCACCAUCAUCAUCAUUGUCAUCGUCAUCAUUAUGUUGCUUUUAGCUCACUGGAGCCUCACAGAACCCUGUGAGGGCAUGGGCAGAUCUUCCUCAGAGGAGGCCUCAGCAAGUGUCAGCCACAUGAAUGAGUGUAUGGAGCAAAGGAGGAGUGAACGUCUAGGAGACCAGCCCUUACCCCAACUCCUCCCGAUCCGCUCCUACUCUGGACUCCAAUCUAUGCCCUACCCCAGCUCUUGGAUUUGGCCUUUGGAUCAGGUUCUUCUGGUAAUGAAGCCUCACCUUUCCCCCAACUAACUCUGAUCUGGCCUACCCUGCUCCUGACUAACCUCAAGGAUCCUGAGUCUCCUUCAGCCUAAUAGCUCCAGAAGCUGAACUCCAGCCCUAAGAGCCCCAGCUGCAGACAGGCCUCUGGCCAGGAGCUUAGUCAGGCUACCCUGACUAAGCCACAGGGUUGGCAUGCCCUCUGGGCAGCCCCUGAACCGGGCUCUGAAAACACUGGAAUGGACAAGGUAAUCUACCCAAGUCCUGAGCCUGCAAGGUAGUUGAGACAGAUCUUGAAGGAGAGUGGGCACAGUCAGAAAGGAAAAAGUGGCUCAGUGUAAAAUAAAACUGACACAAGCCCAUGUACCAGCAGCCAAUUGGAUCUUUUUUUUUUUUUGAGAUGGAGCUUCUCUUAUUGCCCAGGCUGGUCUUGAACUUCUGAGCUCAAGCGAUCCUCCCACCUUGGCCUACCAAAGUGCUGGGAUUACAGGCGUGAACCACCAAUUGGAUCUUUACUGGACCCCUACAGGGCACUGAGCUAGGGAAUGUUGGAGAUUCAGAGGCUGAAUCAGAUAGCAGCCCAACCCUGAGAUACAACUGAGCUACAGGCAAGAGGAUACUACCGGGCGCAGUGGCUCACACCUUUAAUCCCAGCACUUUGGGAGGCCGAGGCAGGUGGAUCAUGUGAGGCCAGGAGUUCGAGAAUACCCUGGCCAACACGGUGAAACCCCAUCUCUAUUAAAAAUACAAAAAUUAGCUGGGGUUGGUGGCACAUGCCUUUAAACCUAGCUACUUGAGAGGCUGAGACACGAGAAUCACUUGAACCUGGGAGGUGGAGGUUGCAGUGAGCUGUGAUCACGCUACUGCACCCCAGCCUAGGUGACAGAGCGAGACUCUGUCUCAAAAAAAAAAAAA